rnacentral:rRNA from 1 species
AUGUCGAGUAGUUUCUCGCAAGAGCUGCUCAUAUCCACUCUCGUGCUACUUGUCCCUAUGUACUUCUACUUUAGGUAUAGUAGUAGAUCAAAGAACCCAACAAUGCUUCCCACAAACUGGCCAAUACUGCACAUGUUACCUUCCUUCCUGGCCAACUCCCACAACUUGCAUGAUUAUCUCUCCAUAGUGCUUGCCGAAUCAGGCCACAACUUCAAGGCGCAUGGCCCGGUUGGGAGUGGGAUGCGGUUGCUCAUCACCUGUGACCCCACGAAUGUACGACACAUCUUGUCCACAAACUACACCAACUUCCCCAAGGGAGCAGAGUUUGCCGCCAUCUUUGACAUCAUGGCUGGCAGCCUCUUCACCAUUGAUGGUGCACCCUCUCUUCGGCCGCGCGCAAAAAUCCAGAGCGUGCUUAGCAGCCCGCGGUUGGUUGCUAGUAUGGCAACUUGCUACCGUGACAAGAUGGAGAAUGGCCUUCUACCAUUAUUUUCCCACCUGGCAAGCACCGGCACUCCGUUCGACAUGCAAGAAGUGUUUUCCAGGUUUAUGUUUGACAUGGCUGCCACACCUCUCUUUGGUGUGGACCCUGGCCUCUUGUCCUUCUCCUUAGACAUGUCGAUGCCACCCAUGGAUGUCGCGGUCGCGAUGGACACGGUCAUGGAGGUGGGAUUUAUCUGA